rnacentral:tRNA from 1 species
GCCCUCGUAGCACAAUGGACAGUGCGAGCCGGUUCUAACGGAAAGGUUGCAGGUUCGAAUCCUGCCGAGGGCG